rnacentral:rRNA from 1 species
GACGAACGUUGGCGGCGUGCUUAAUACAUGCAAGUCCACUGAAGCAGUGGUAGCAAUAUCGCUUUGGAGGUGGCGCACGGGUGAGUAACACGUAGGUAAUCUGCCUUCAGGUCUGGCAUAACUCCGGGAAACCGGGGCUAAUAGCAGAUGAUGCAGCGGCUCGACAUCGAGACAGUUGUUAAAGCUAUGGCGCCUGAAGAUGAGCCUGCGUCUGAUUAGCUAGUUGGCGGGGUAACGGCCCACCAAGGCAACGAUCAGUAGCUGGUCUGAGAGGAUGAUCAGCCAAACUGGAACUGAGACAGGGUCCAGACUCCUACGGGAGGCAGCAGUAAGGAAUAUUGCUCAAUGGGAGAAAUCCUGAAGCAGCAACGCCGCGUGAGGGACGAAGGGCUUUAGCUUGUAAACCUCUGUAGAGAGAGAAAAAAAUCCCAAUCUUUGGGACAUGAUGGUAACUCAAAAGUAAGCCCCGGCUAACUACGUG